ACUGGGGAGGGGGAGGAACCGGGUGUUACAUAAGCUGUUACACAAGGAGGUCCAUUCUGAGCCAGCACUGGUAUCCCUAUGGCUUUUGUCAUCACUUGCUAUUAAUUCCGGGUCACUGUAUUCCAAAAAGACAUUUUUUAAGGAUUUAAGGGAAAGCAACAACCACGCGCUACUCAAGAGCUAACAAAAACAUCUGUGUUAAGAGCCGAAGUCUGUCAAAGAGAUUUAAUGAUCAGUCUACCAGAAUGAAGGCUUCCUGAAGGUGAGAAGCAACUCAUCACACCCUCCAUUAAGGACUCUCACAGAUACAUCACAAGUGAGGAACCUGAAUGCAGACAGACUUCUUCCUCAGGAAUUGGACCCAGGCCUCUCUGAUUUGGAAGCCCGUUUUAGAGCACACCACCUCUCAAGCAUUUCAGCCCGAGAGAGGAUUUAGGAGCCUGUGGGCAUCAAACCACCUCCUGUGCUAACUUCCACCUUGUCAGUCUCUGCUGGGCAUUUCUGGAUCAAAGGUGGCUGGAAGGAUGGUGCUCCUGAGUGUAACUGAUCUGAAACUGUCCAGGAGGAGCUAAGGGAGGAGUUCCUGGGUCACUCACAUGGGAUUAGAGAACCAGCCCCAGCGCCAGUUUCACAGAGGUCACGUAAUGCAGACAGAAUAAGAAUUGACUACAGCAUCUUCCUUGAACUCACACCAAGAACUUUAUGAGAAAAAGAAAUGCUCCCGUAAUGAACACGCAGCCAAGAUCUUCCCACAUCUCCAGUGUGUGAUGUCGACUGAUACCGAGUCCCAAGAGAGGAGCAUUGCUUAGUGGUGCUCCCCAUCUGACCCAAGAGCAGAGGCAAGGUCAAAUGACUUCUGCUGCCCCAAGAUCGUGGGCAAACUUACAAGAACAAAGAGUAGGAAAUUCGCACACCGAAUGAAGACUGCACAUAACCCUGAAUUUCAUGUCAUUCAGGCCUUUUAACAAUAGCUCUAACAUUCUCUGAGGAAAAGAGUGGCUGGAACCACUGCCCUUGAGAAAUCAAGAGGGCCGUCAGCUGAUAGACUUUGCAUCUUUACAGACUAUAACGCAUUGGGCAGACUUCCCUGGUGGCUCAGUGUAAAGAAUCCUCCUGCCAAUACAGAAGACGUGGGUUCGAUCCCUAGGUCAAGAAGAUCCCCUGGAAAAGGGAAUGGCAACCCACUCCAGUAAUCUUGCCUGGACAAUCCCAUGGACAGAGGAGGCUGGCAGGCUACAGUCCGUGGGGUCGCAAAGGAGCCGGAUAGGACUGAGCAACUAAACAACGGCAAGCAAUGCAGUGUGCAGCCCGCUCACUUGUCCUGUCUGAAGAGUCUGGACACACCUCUGCUUUUCACACAUCCCACCUUUGCAAGAUUUCCAGUUUUGUAAGAGAUUGAAAUGGGGCAAGACUUCAGGAUAUAUUCUCAGCACUCUGGGGUCCCCACAUCCCGAUCACAGGCCAGUUCCCGCCUCCUUGGACAACGUGGUCCGAGGGCCCCCUCCCACUCACCUCCAGC